GUAUAGCUCAGUGGGUGAGUCUCUGCUUUGCAUGCAGAGGGCCCCAGGUUCAAUCCCCAGUUGAACAGGCA
rnacentral:tRNA from 1 species